CAGUCUGCACUCUGCAGCCCAGUUUGGGUUUUGGUUCUCACCACGUUCUGAUUCGAGUCCACAGUCCACACCACACCCGCACCAUCUUCCACAAGGAGAGAAUUUUUUUUUCCUCCAGCACCAGUGAGUAGGGCGAGAUGAGCAGCCCCCGCCGCCGCCACUGCCGCCGCUCGCCGGCGGCGUCCCCGCUGGAGGACGACGACCUGCUCUCCGAGAUCCUGCUCCGCCUCCCCCCGCAGCCCUCCGCCCUCCCGCGCGCAUCGGCCGUCUGCAAGCGCUGGCGCGGCCUCGUCUGCGACCCCCGAUUCCGGCGCCGCUUCCGCCUCCGCCACCGCCGCAACCCUCCCCUCCUCGGCUUCUUCAACCGAUUCGAUCGCCUCUCCUUCCAGCCCACUCUGGACGCCCCCGACCGUGUCCCUCUCGGGCCCUUCCCCUUUCAGCGCAACGACGGCGGCUACUUCGUCUCCCUCGGAUGCCGCCACGGCCUCCUACUCGUCUUCCUUCCGGGGAUUCUCGAGGUCCUUGUGUGGGACCCCGUCACCGGCGACCGGCACCGGGUGGCCAUCCCCCCGGUGGUCGCGGAACGUGCGGCGGAGAUUGGGGUCGGCGGGGCGGUGUGUCGCGCUCCCGGAGACGUCCAACAUUUCCAGGUGGUCUUGGCGGUGACAGACGACCACGGCGCACAACCUAGACGAGCGCUCGCCUGCGUUUACUCGUCGAAGACCGGCGUAUGGGGAAGUCUCAUCUCGACACCGCUCCCAUACCAGGCUCAUGGAUCCCAGUUUUCCGCCAUCGUUUGUGCCGAGGACGCCGCGCUGGCUGGAGAUUCCCUCUACUGGCCGCUUACUGGGAAAUUGAAUGGAAUUCUCGAGUUUGAUCUGGAGAAGAAGAGGCUAGCCGUGAUACGGGUGCCGGUGCAUAUGUGGGGCGAGCGGGAGCGGAAUGGCUUCAAGCUUGUGCGGGCAGAGGGUGGUGUGCUAGGUUUCCUCUUCAUAUCGCACUCAGACUGCUGCGCCGCCCAGUUAUGGAAGAGGAUAACUGGUUGUGACGGUGUUGCUUCAUGGGUGCUUGCAAGAACUAUUCAGCUGGACAAGCUGCUUUCCCUGAAACCAGAGGAGAAAGGGGGCAUAGAGAUGGUCGGGUUUGCUCAAGACAAUAGUGUGUUGUUGUUGCGGACAGUUAUCGGCCUCUUCAUGAUCCAUCUUGAGUCACUGAAGUUCAAGAAGCUUUCCAACACUACGACCGUGUCUCGCUAUUUUCCAUUCGAAAGUGUCUACACUGCAGGUAAUACCAUGCCCUACACUAAGGUUAGAAAAAAACCAAGUUAUGUGUCGAUAAUUGGCUGAUGAAAUUAUGUUCACAUCAUUUUGUGUUAAGCCAACAAUUUUAAGUAGUGUUGUAUCAUUUAUUUCUUUCGCUGCUUCAUGGCCUCUUCAGCUUAUAGUGAUUUUGAUUCUGUUAUGAUGCUCAUGUGUGUGCUUUUUAUGUGAUGGUUAUAUAUGGAUUAACAUAUUUUACCUAUAGUUAUUAUAGCUAGUGUUUGUUAUGUUUUUUGUGUCACCAGUUUGGUUUCCGUACCUAGGUGAUGGGCUGUCAUCGAUGAUGCAUUCAACAUAUAUGUGGCGAUGUUCUUAUGUUAUUAUAUUAUUGUUAUUAUCAUUGAACUAUGUUUUUCCAGUCAGAAAUAGCAAACUGUUUCUAUCAGUUCAUUAUAUGAAUAUCUAUACAUAAAACUGAACACCAAGAUUAGCAAAUUCACUGAACUAUAUUUCACCGUUGCCUGCCUAUUGACAUAUGCAAGAAUUUUAAAACCUUACUUUUAGUGUAUAACUGCUGCGAAGUUUUUCUCAAGAUAAAAUAUCUACCAGUUGGAAGUUGAAGACAACAUGAAAAACUAGCUUGAACCAACUGAAAUGUCAAAUAGGCAGCUCAAUAGGUACAUUUGGAAGCUUCAAACUUAGUUCUAUUUCUUUCAUUCUAUAUUAUUAUGUCUGCCAAUCUUGCAAUGAUCUUAAAUCAAUUAUGAAAAAUUCAAAUAAUUGUUCACAGUUAAUCUUAACACUUCAGAAGAGUCUGUUGCGAGUGGAUAAUCUAAAUCGGAAUAGACAUAUCACUUGUCCUAAUGCUGUAUCAAAACUAUGCUUGUUUUUCAAGAUACAGCUAUGAGUUUAUCUAAAUAUCUCCUUGCUGCCUCCUCAUAUCUGUUUGGCUUUUUGUUGGAAUGACAUUGGUUGUUUAACUUCUUAUGCUUGCAGUAACAGGCAUUGGUGGUAGACAUGAUGCAUCUGAUGUUAUGCACAAUAAAUAAGGCGAUUGUCUGGUUAAAUACUCUGUUCUGAUGUACUGGCAGAGCGGUUACAUUCUGGUGACUGAAAUGAAGGAAUGGGUUGUUCGCUGUAGUGUCUACUAUUUUGUAUGUUCGACGCGCAGAUUGGCUCUCUAUGUAGCAUGCACCGGUCAGCUGUGAAGUCCAUUUGUAGCAAUCAAUUGCUUAAUUUGACAAUUUCUAUGCUCUUCAUGAAGGGAACAUUGACUUGCUUCGUUUAAUUAGUACUCUGUACUUCACUUGUCGUUCCUUUAGUUUGCUGCUUUUCAAGCAAGCUCACCUAUGAAUUGUCUGCUUGCAUUUGGUGUGUGCGCAAGUUGGUUGCGUUUGGUUAUCUCGUGCCUUGUAUAUUGCUCGUGUUCCACAAUGUCGCAUUGCGCGUGCGUGUGUGGAAUUUCCAUCU